UAGCCGUAAACGAUACUCGCUAGGUGUCGGCCACGGUGCGACCGUUGUCGGUGCCGUAGGGAAGCCGUGAAGCGAGCCACCUGGGAAGUACGGCCGCAAGGCUGAAACUUAAAGGAAUUGGCGGGGGGAGCACAACCAACGGGUGGAGCUUUGCGGUUUAAUUGGAUUCAACGCCCGGAAAUCUUACCGGGACCGACAGCAACAUGAAGGCCAAGCUGAACGACUUUGCCGGAUUAGCUGAGAGGUGGUGCAUGGCGUAGUCGUGU
rnacentral:rRNA from 1 species